rnacentral:misc_RNA from 1 species
CAAGUGACCCCGGUCUAACCACCGGGAUGUUCAUAACCCUUUGUUGUCCGACUCUGUUGCCUCCGGGGCGACCCUGCCUUCGGGCAGGGGCUCCGGGUGGACACUUCAAACUCUUGCGUAACUUUGCAGUCUGAGUAAACUUAAUUAAUAAAUUA